UCAAUAUCAUCAUGGGCGUGUCCAAAAGGGCUUGUAUGAGAAUGGUGUCAAAAAGAGAUACUUCAGUGUGGCCCAAACAGGAAAGUUUAUAACAAGCACAGACUCCAGGAAAGCUAUACCCACAUGUAUGUCCCAAUAGAGAAUGAGCUAUAAUGUCUCCAGCAAUAUGAGUCAAUAGAAACAAAGUCAUCGGGUUACAGGGAUUCUAUAAAUUAUGUUAACACUUUCCUUGUACUUUGCUUAGUGGGUAUAGGGGUUGUCCACCUAAGGAAAUACUUAGAAUAUAGUUGAAAGCUUCCAUGCCCUUUUGUGAAAGAUUUCCACUCUCAAACCAGUAUCAAUAGAUACUAGCACACAUGUAACAGUGCAAUCAAAGUUCAUAUGAGGUGAUUUUAUUUAUUUGCAGAGGCCAAUAAAUAUUGCACCUCUUCCCAAGUGUUCCUAAGCUCCUCAAAAAACUAAUGUCAUUCAGUUGGGAAAGGGGAGCUCAAGGUUGCCUUUUUCCAUCACUACAUUUAUUACUUGAGAAAAAUUAUUAUGGGAUUCUUGCCUAAAGGCAAGCUUUUAAAAAUAAACAGUAAAAUAAAUAAUAGCCUUUUGAGAGAAAAAAAUGUGCUUGUGUAUUGAAUUAUAUGAGAAAAACAUUUGUUUUAUUGUAAAUUAUGAAAAGACUAUCAAAACUAAAUAAUAUAUUGAGUUGUUUUAAAGCUUCAUAAACUAUGAAGAGAUUAUUGUCUUAACUUUUAGAGUGUCAUGAGCCGAUGGUGGUUAAUUGUACCAUGAGUGUGUUGACAUCUGUAUAAUGGACAUGUUUCUCCAAAGAUAUUUAUAAUGCUGGAUUCAGGGUACUGGCCUUGUGCUUGAAAAAGCCAGCUAGGAGUGCAGACUUUCUGGAUGGCUGGUAUUGACACUAAAUUAGAGAAAUAGAAGCCUUUAACACAUUUUUUUAAUUUAUAGCAGAGAUGCACUCUAUAAAAUUCAGUGUAUCUAUAUGACACUAAAAGUCUUCUUUCCCGUUCAACUCAUUAUGCUACAUUUGCUUUUAUUUUCUCAAUCAGAAAGAUGUUUAGUAUGUAUCUUCUGAAAUUCUAUGCUUUUACUCUAUUUUUAAAGCUUAUAGAAUAACUUUAAGUGUGAACCAGGCCCCACGCCAUCAUUGUCAACCUUGCUGGCCUAUCGACCACAUCCUAGAAGUAUAAGAAAUCUUCCUGGCAAGCCAUAACCUCCUUGCCCCAUGACAGAAAUCUUUUUCAGACCUCAUUGGACAAUUCAUCAUGCAGAUGGUCCCCAUGUAGGUGUGUGUUCAAUCUGACAAAUUAACCAGGCUCUGAAAUCUACUCAUCAUCUCCAACUGAACUGUUUGUGCUUCUUUGUGCUAAUACAUGGGAAAGAGAUUCUUAUUGUUUUAACAAUCCCAGAAUAUUGUGUGUAAACUCUUGUGCUCCAAUCAAUGUUUACUUAUCCUCCAAAGCACAAAUACUGGAUGUAAACAUGUGUUGUACCUAAUGUUACAAACUAAUCAAUAAAUUUCUGCUGCAAGGUU
rnacentral:lncRNA from 1 species